CAGCCCUCUAAAAUCACGCAAAUGACUGGUAUAACUUUCUGCUCACAGGCAAUCUCAGCGCUGGCCGUUAAUAGAUGUUUUGCCACUAUUUUCCUUCGGAAGGAUGACGCCGAUCGUUCGCCCCUUUUGCCCGUGUCUUCCCGGCGUGCAGGAUGGGAGCAGCCCCGGAUAGUGGUGCGGCGGCCAACCCUCAGCCCCAGCUCCCGCUGCCGUGCCCCAUCGCAAGGGGCAUUUCCCCAAGGCCACCGGCUCCUUUCUUAUUUAUAUUUUUAUUUUAUUUUUAUUUUUAUUUUAUUUUAUUUUUAUUUUAUUUUACUUCAUUUCAUUUUACUUCAUUUUAUUUUUCUUUUUCUACUUUUUUUACUUUAUUCCAUUUUACUUUAUUUUACUUCAUUUUAUUAUACUUCAUUUUACCUUAUUUUAUUUUCCCUUAUUUUACUUUCCUUCAUUUUCCUGUUUCAAUGUGAUUUCUCCAUGGGGCAGCCCUUCUCCCCGGCGCAUCGCCUGGGCGCUGCCCUCGGCGGGUGCUCAGAAGGCGAAGGGAAGGGGCAGCCCCCCCCGGGCCGGCAGCGGCCCCGCUAUUUGCAUGGCGUGUUUAUAACGUGGUGGAAACCAAGACUGAUAUUUGUGGUCGGGAGAAGAUGACUUUCACCUCUCCGGAUCACUCUCUCAAAUAAAAAAGAAUUGACCAGC